UACGAAGGGGGCUAGCGUUGCUCGGAAUCACUGGGCGUAAAGGGUGCGUAGGCGGGUUUUUAAGUCAGGGGGGAAAUCCUGGAGCUCAACUCCAGAACUGCCUUUGAUACUGAAGAUCUUGAGUUCGGGAGAGGUGAGUGGAACUGCGAGUGUAGAGGUGAAAUUCGUAGAUAUUCGCAAGAACACCAGUGGCGAAGGCGGCUCACUGGCCCGGUACUGACGCUGAGGUGCGAAAGCGUGGGGAGCAAACAGG
rnacentral:rRNA from 1 species